rnacentral:rRNA from 1 species
GAUGAACGCUGGCGGCGUGCCUAACACAUGCAAGUCUACGAGAAUAAGGUAGCAAUAUCUUUAGUAAAGUGGCGCACGGGUGAGUAACACGUAAGUAACCUACCUUUAGAUUUGGAAUAACCCCGAGAAAUCGGGGCUAAUACCGAAUGAUGCAGCGGCACCACAUGGUGAUGUUGUUAAAGUCUAUAUGACGUCUAAAGAUGGGCUUGCGUCUGAUUAGCUAGUUGGUGAGGUAACGGCUCACCAAGGCUACGAUCAGUAGCUGGUCUGAGAGGAUGAUCAGCCACACUGGAACUGAGACACGGUCCAGACUCCUACGGGAGGCAGCAGUGAGGAAUAUUGGGCAAUGCCCGAAAGGGUGACCCAGCAACGCCGCGUGGAGGAUGAAUGCCGUAAGGUUGUAAACUCCUGUUAGAGGGGAAGAAAAAUCUCGAUCAAAUCGAGAACUGACUGUACCCUCAGAGAAAGCCCCGGCUAACUACGUGCCAGCCGCCGCGGUAACAC